rnacentral:rRNA from 1 species
UACAGAGGGGGCAAGCGUUAUUCGGAAUUAUUGGGCGUAAAGGGCGCGUAGGCGGCUUGGCAAGUGGAAGGUGAAAUCCCUCGGCUUAACCGAGGAACUGCCCUCCAAACUGCUUUGCUUGAGGCCGGGAGAGGUGAGUGGAAUUCCCGGUGUAGCGGUGAAAUGCGUAGAUAUCGAGAGGAACACCUGCGGCGAAGGCGGGUUGCUGGGCUGACACUGACGCUGAAGCGCGAAAGCUAGGGGAGCGAACGGG